GCGGCUGUCACACACAGGAGCCUCCCGCACAUGUCUUACCAAACCGCUAUCCUGAAGGGGGGGGGGGCGCCGGUGAGAAAUUGGUGGCUGGUUUGGUGAGGGGUCACCUCUGAGAUGAAGAGUUAUUC